rfam:Calypte anna contig55188, whole genome shotgun sequence.
GUGGGCUACGGGGACAUGCACCCCAUCACCAUCGGGGGCAAGAUCGUGGGCUCUCUCUGUGCCAUCGCGGGGGUGCUGACCAUCGCCCUCCCCGUCCCCGUCAUCGUCUCCAAU